rnacentral:rRNA from 1 species
UACGUAGGGUGCAAGCGUUAAUCGGAAUUACUGGGCGUAAAGCGUGCGCAGGCGGUGAUGUAAGACAGAUGUGAAAUCCCCGGGCUCAACCUGGGAACUGCAUUUGUGACUGCAUCGCUGGAGUGCGGCAGAGGGGGAUGGAAUUCCGCGUGUAGCAGUGAAAUGCGUAGAUAUGCGGAGGAACACCGAUGGCGAAGGCAAUCCCCUGGGCAUGCACUGACGCUCAUGCACGAAAGCGUGGGGAGCAAUCAGG